rnacentral:rRNA from 1 species
CCUACGGGAGGCAGCAGUGGGGAAUAUUGCACAAUGGGCGCAAGCCUGAUGCAGCCAUGCCGCGUGUGUGAAGAAGGCCUUCGGGUUGUAAAGCACUUUCAGCGGGGAGGAAGGCGGUGAGGUUAAUAACCUCAUCGAUUGACGUUACCCGCAGAAGAAGCACCGGCUAACUCCGUGCCAGCAGCCGCGGUAAUACGGAGGGUGCAAGCGUUAAUCGGAAUUACUGGGCGUAAAGCGCACGCAGGCGGUCUGUCAAGUCGGAUGUGAAAUCCCCGGGCUCAACCUGGGAACUGCAUUCGAAACUGGCAGGCUAGAGUCUUGUAGAGGGGGGUAGAAUUCCAGGUGUAGCGGUGAAAUGCGUAGAGAUCUGGAGGAAUACCGGUGGCGAAGGCGGCCCCCUGGACAAAGACUGACGUUCAGGUGCGAAAGCGUGGGGAGCAAACAGGAUUAGAUACCCGAGUAGUC